GGUCNGGUGAAGUGUUCGGAUCGCUGCGACGUGGGUGGUUCGCCGCCCGCGACUCGGUGAGAAGUCCAUUGAACCUUAUCAUUUAGAGGAAGGAGAAGUCGUAACAAGGUUUCCGUAGGUGAACCUGCGGAAGGAUCAUUG
rnacentral:rRNA from 1 species